UAUGUUAAUCAAGACCUUGCAGUUGUCGGCAUCAAGACCCACAUCAUCAGAAACAAAUCCAAUAGAGCGGCAUGUGUCACGGACAAUCUUCUCAUAGUCUACAUUGGCUUUGGAGAGUUCACAACUAAAG